rnacentral:rRNA from 5 species
CGUAUCACCCAAGACAACUUUACGGAGUUGACGAUUGACGGAGCGAAGCGACGUCAAAGCGUUCAUUAAAGUCGAGUUGGCUUAGGGAUACGUUCGUUGGGUAGGGGAGCGUUCUGUAAGCCUGUGAAGGUGUGUCGUGAGGCAUGCUGGAGGUAUCAGAAGUGCGAAUGCUGACAUAAGUAACGAUAAAGCGGGUGAAAAGCCCGCUCGCCGGAAGACCAAGGGUUCCUGUCCAACGUUAAUCGGGGCAGGGUGAGUCGACCCCUAAGGCGAGGCCGAAAGGCGUAGUCGAUGGGAAACGGGUUAAUAUUCCCGUACUUGGUGUUACUGCGAAGGGGGGACGGAGAAGGCUAUGUUGGCCGGGCGACGGUUGUCCCGGUUUAAGCGUGUAGGUGUGUGUUCCAGGUAAAUCCGGUU